GUAAAUAUGGUGGGAUAGGGCAGCCAUCUUGGCAGCCAUCUUGUUUUAUGCUGACUAAGUUGAGGAAUGCUGGUUUAGAGUCUUCACAUGGAUCUGUUAAAAGACAAGAUUAGAAUUAAAAUGGUCCUACUAAGUAAGCUAAGAGGUGUUCCCCGAAUGCUAAGAAUUUUUGGAGGAUUUUAAACUUACGACAUUACCACCUGAAAAUUAGUACCUUGCCAGAGCUCCAAUUUGGUGUAAGGUUGCCUGUUCUCAGCAGUUCCUGACCCUGCUUUGAAUGUCAGUGACUGUCAAGUUACAGCUUCCUCCAUGGUCUCAAGGCCUUCACACAGAUGCUUCUCCAGAUACCCUCAGUUGGGUUGAGCAAUGUCUUCUCUAGUCUCUAGGGUUGCUUCUGUUUCUGAGCUCAGGAGUAUGGUCAGAAGUGGAUACACUACUUGGAUAUGCUUAUAGUUACAUUUUGUGCUUUCUCCAAACUCCCGUCCUUCUCGAAAGGCCGUGGUUCAUGUUAUUUGUCAGUUUCUCCAGAUCUCCCUCCACCAGAUUACUUUAUUUUUUCAUUUUAUUUCUAACAGACAUCCGAGCUACUCAUGGAAGGUAAACGGUCAGUAGUGGGACUGGAGAGAUGGGGUUCGGAGGGUAGGAAUGUCUACUGUUGUUCAACAGGCUCCAAGUUCAUUUCCUAGCACCAGAUGGUGGCUAACAACCACCUGUAACUCCAGUUCUGGGAGGAUUUAAUGUUCUCUUCUGGUCUCAGAGGAUACCAGGCACAUGUGUAGUUUGCAGAUAUAUAGCAUAAUAAAAUAAUUUUAAAACACUGAUAAUGGGGCUGAAGGAAUGGUUCAACAUUUACUGGAGUUUGCUGUUCCUCAGUGGACCUGACUUUAGUUCCCAGCAUCCACAGGGCAGCUCACAACUGCCUGUAACUUGAGCUCCAGGAGACCCUGAUGCUCUCACCCGACCUCCAGGGGCACCUGCAUGGACACAUACACACUCUCUCACACCAACAUAAAUUUAAAAAAAAUUAAAAUAAGAAAGCCUGCUAAUGAUCAGCAUAAACAAAUCUACUCCAUCAUUGCCAAAACUACCCAACACAUUAAUGGGAAUAAUUGGAUAAGUUGGAAAUUUAGUCU
rnacentral:lncRNA from 1 species